UAGAUGGAUGCUCGCUGGAUUGGGCGCUUAGCUGUUAACUAAGAGUUUGAAGGGUCGAGUCCUUCUCAUCUAG
rnacentral:tRNA from 1 species